GUGAUGAGGGAGCAUCAGAGAGAUUCUUCCGCCUGCCCCCAGCUGUGUCUGUCCCUCUCCCCCGCUGCCGGCGGGUCCCACUUCCCUUCACCAUCCUGCCUCGCUUCUCCGCGGCCGGCCUGACUUGGUGGCAUUUCCUGCCCCGAGAUUGACAGCAAGAUAAGGUCCACAGCAUGGACCAAAUCAGGGAAGGCAGGCUUGGGUUAGGAGAGGGGAGAAAAGGCAGGACCAUCCUUCCGGCUUCUUUCAAACUGUGUUUCCUAGCUGCCUUCUCUUGGAAGAGGCUUCAGCGGUCUGCCUUGGAUCAAUCAGUGUCAUCUAUUUGCAAGGGCCUUUGCUCGACAAAGAGACGAGAGCCAACAGGUAAUCUCCCCGCAAAGUUGCCAAGGUUGGUGGGAAUGUGGGACCCUUACCGGCAGACCGUCGGGCUCCGAGGGGCCCCUCGGUGCUUUUCUUCAGAAAUCUUUUCAUUCCCCAAACAUUUUCAAAUUGCUGUUUCCUUUCCUUUCUUGUGACACAGUCAAAAGAGGCAGUUUUUUUUGUUUUUGUUUUUUUUUCCUGUGGAAAAACAACGCUGGGUUCUGGUUUCUCUUUGUUGGAAGAGAAAGACUUGAAGUGGGCCUCACGGGCCUGAACUAUCAGAUACACAAACUAUGUGGGGAUCCCCGGGGUCCUGGCUAUGAGUAUGGGCUCCCAACAUGGCUUAGUAUCAUCUGUAGGUUUGGCCCAACUGUAAUUUGUAAUUGGAAAGGGCUUCGUCCUCUGUGGCCCUUCCAUCAGUCAUGGGCCAUAAACUUGGCACAAAGAUUCCACAACAUGAGAGAAGGGAGAUGUGACGUUUCAGAAGGCGGCUGUUGGUUCUUGAUGUAAACCGUCAGAUCCGAUUGGUGAUAAGGCCAAGUUCAGACAUCGUAAGCUCCUUAAACCAGUGAGUGAUGGAGCAGGGGAGCUAAGUGGCUGUCUGGAACGGGUGCUCCUUUCCAAGUCAGGAAAGAAGAGGCUUUUAAAAUAUUUCCCAAAGCAGUUGUGGUCAAAGAGAGGGGAAUAUGUGUCUUGGAGGGGAAAGGAGAUGAUUUUCACGCGUCCCUAAACCCCCAACUGGGAUAAAAACGCAGGUAGGUUUCAUCAAGGCAUAGUAAUUUUGUAGAGGUCCAGAGAUUUGCCGACUUGACCGACGAGGCCUUGGUUUUUGGAAGGAUGGAAAAGAGUGACGUCGAUGGCGUCCGGAGAUGGUUUGUUUUCUGUCCCUUUACUUUCUCUACCCGCCUUCUAGGUGUUUAUGAGACAAGAUGAGCCCUAAGCAACUGCCAGUCAUCAUUGGAAAACGUGCUUUUAACUUAGCUGGUGGGUUUGAAAAUCUGACUCCUUCUCUGGGGGUGGGGGGCCUGUUCGUAGCCCCUCCUCCCCCCGAAGACAUCUAACGGUACUUUCCAUAAGCGGGUAACACAUUUCCCUGUUUCUGCGUUCCCCUCCACUCCACGAUCCAGUGAAGUCAGAUUCUCCUUGUGAAGGUUUUAGGCCUCUCUUGGGGGUCCUCGUGGGCAAGAUUUAAAUAGUUCCAGAUCAGCUGUCUCUCCGAUGCCAUUCUCAGGCUCCCCAAACUCUGAGAGUGUGGGCUACCCCCAACACAGCAAACUCCUCCCAGCUGCCAGAUCUCUCCCCUGUGAGAACUUUUUGUCAUGAGCUGGACCCCAAGCCGUUGUGUUUCCCCCAAGUUCUGGGGACGCCUUUCAGACACUCUAGGUGAUCCUGUUGCAACCUUACAUUGGCUUGAGGUGAGCUCGAUAACUCCAGAAAAAUUCUAUCUAAAAUCCUUCUUCCCUUAGGAGGCACCUGUGAGGCUCAGUUGGUUGAGCAUCCAACUCUUGGUUUCGGCUCAGGUCAUGAUCUCGCAGUUCGUGAGUUCGAGCCCCGCAUCGGAGCCUCCCUUGGAUUCUGUUCCUCCGCCACUCGCAGUCUGCUUCUCUCUCUCUCUCAAAAAUAAAGAUUUAAGAAAAAAAA
rnacentral:lncRNA from 1 species